CUCCAUUUCACGCAGCCCCUCCCUCUCCCUUCUUCACAUUGCUCUCUUCCACAUUUCUUCUUCACUCACUCACACACACAUGGCCGUGAGAGAGAGAGCUGCCAUGGGAGAGAUUGAUGCCGAGAGUGAGACGUUGCAGAUUUUUGAGAGGGAGAUUUAGAGCAUGAUGCAGAGAAGAGAAAGAAGAAGUCCGGUUAUGGGUCGUUUGUGAGCCGUAUAGAUGAUGUUCAUUUGGCUGUAGGUACUCCAGUCGUAGUUGAUGGUGUUGUAGAUGUGCACUUGGGAUAUUAUGACUGAAACUUGCUGCGACGGUCGUAGUUGCAGAACCAUAGGCAUCCUCUAUUUUAUGGGUUUUGUUUAUGGUUUGUGACACCUGUGUCACUUAUUAUUAUAUAAGGUCAUUUAUGUUAUGUAUUUAAUUUGAAGAAAGACUUAAAUAGAUAUAUGUAAUAUUGGCUCUUGAUUAUGAUUAAUUUAUGAUAGAUGUUUAAGAUGUGA